rnacentral:tRNA from 1 species
UGUCAGAAGUGGGGUUUGAACCCACGCCCUCUUACGAAGACCAGAACUUGAGUCUGGCGCCUUAGACCACUCGGCCAUCCUGAC